rnacentral:sRNA from 1 species
CCAGGAAGGGACUCCAGUCUGCCAGACCCGGGGCAGAAGCCCUUCUCGGACGAGCUUUCACGGAGAAGCUCAAAUACCAGGGGCUCCGGAAGGUCGGAAGCCUCCAAGCUGCCCAGGAAAAGACCAAAGAGAUAUAAACUACAAAAGUUCUGGGACCCCCAGGUCUUUGGAGCCUGAUGAGGGGACAGCUUCAUGGGCUUCCUCUCCAGUCUGCAGCCCAGUGCAGGGCAAACGCCCCUCUCCCUCUCCGGGGGCCAUUAGCUUCUCCUCAGUCCAUCAGCAGAGUCAGCCAGUCACAGCCACGGUGGCCCCCUUCCAGUACAGGUUGCAAACUGACCAGAAACCUGGCCCCCUCUCCCAGGGCAGCUGGGCCCUUGAUGGCUAUGCUGAGCCCCUCCAUGAGACUGAGGAGAGCUUCUCCUGCAUGGGUAAGUGAUCUGGGGGAGACUUCCUCCUAGGGU